AUUUAUAGCCAUGUUUAUAACACCUUAUGAAUGUAUUAUAAAAUGUUAUGAAUGUGUGUAUACACGCUUUAAAACAUGACAUUCAUAGAAAGUUUGACCGUAUUACUCAAUAAAAUUUCCUCACUUUGGACCAAUCAGAAUGAAUUUUGUGGCAUUUUCCUCAUCAUACUAAUCAGACAUGAUUUGACUGUUAUUAGAUAUUAAGACCUUCACAUAUGCAGACAUUUUCUAUAUAUAUACCAAUGCAUUAUUAACAGUCUUGGUCCUUUGCCAGGGGUGUAGCAGCAUUUUUGCUCCUGUGAAAAAAUUACAGCUGAUAAUCGAAACACGCUAACUGCAGAGUCAUAAACUCUAACUUUGCUCUUUCACCUGUGCUGACAGCUGCAAUAAGCUCACCUGACUUGCUGUUGAGAAAUCACCAGGUGUUUAUUUUGGCAUGUGUACCUACAUUUCCCCCCCGCAGAAAGAAGUCUGCGGCUGUGUUCCAGUAUCUCCACUCAUGCUAAGCUAGUACAUAGAACUCUCUCUGCCAUUACUAAUGUUGGGUGGUUUACCACAGCAUAACUAAGCUGUUGUCACCUCAUCCCUGAUCACAUAUGAUCCAGAACAGCCACUCCACCAGCACUUUGUGCACUGUCCUUCAGGUCAUCCUCGCUGGCGAACCUUGGGAUAUGUUGGCUGGCGAAGGAUGCACCCCUCGGCCACAUGUGAAGGAGCCUUAGAAAUGGGACAGCCUAGUCGCGCCACUGUGACGCAAUCAGC